rnacentral:misc_RNA from 1 species
GAUGAAGAACGUAGCGAAAUGCGAUAAGUAAUGUGAAUUGCAGAAUUCAGUGAAUCAUCGAAUCUUUGAACGCACAUUGCGCCCGUCAGUAUUCUGGCGGGAAUGCCUGUUCGAGCGUCAUUACGCCCCUCAAGUCCCCUGUGGACUUGGUGUUGGGGAUCGGCGAGGCUGGUUUUCCAGCACAGCCGUCCCUUAAAUUAAUUGGCGGUCUCGCCGUGGCCCUCCUCUGCGCAGUAGUAAAACACUCGCAACAGGAGCCCGGCGCGGUCCACUGCCGUAAAACCCCCCAACUUUUUAUAGUUGACCUCGAAUCAGGUAGGACUACCCGCUGAACUUAAGCAUAUCAAUAAGCGGAGGA